rnacentral:ribozyme from 1 species
ACCAACUAAAAUAAGCAAAUUCUGAAAAAAAAAAAAAAAAAAAAAAUUUUUUUUUUUUUUUUUUUUUUCAGAAUUUGCUUAUUUU